GACGAACGCUGGCGGCGUGCCUAAUACAUGCAAGUAGAACGCAGUUGGGAACGGGGGAGUAACGCGUAGGUAACCGGCCCAUAGCGGGGGGUAACUAUUGGAAACGAUAGCUAAUACCGCAUACUGUGAGCUGGACAUGCGUUGUAUUAGCUAGUUGGUGCGGUAAAGGCUCACAAAGGAGACGAUACAUAGCCGACCUGGGAGGCUGAUCUGCCACCCUGGGACUGAGACACUGCCCAGACUCCGACGGGAGGCAGCAAUAGGUAAUCUGUGGCAAUGGACGGAAGUCUGACCUAGCAACGCCGCGUGAGUGAAGAAGGUUUUCGGAUCGUAAAGCUCUGUUUUUAGAGACGCGGUAACUAACCAGAAAGGGACGGCUAACUACGUGCCAGCAGCCGCGGUAAUUC
rnacentral:rRNA from 1 species